AGCAUGCACUGAUGUCUGGUUUUCUUUAUUGUAGCUGACUAAGGGACAACAGCCCAGCGGUGGCAGGAAUUUCCCAGAUGGUGAAACUUUUUUACUGCACACCUGGCAUGGAUUCUCAUACCUGGAUCUCUGACAGAUAAGUGCUGGGCUCCAAUCCCCAGAGGGGAUGGGAGUGGGAUGCUGGGUCUGGAAUUGUCAGGAGGGAUUUUUGAGGCAGCUUUGGAGCUGGGGAUGUCCAAGAAGCAGCCCCUCAGGCCCCAUAAGGGGAAGAGUCUCAAUUUGAUCUCAAUGCUGAGUUGCACAGGGCAGAGCAGUUCCUCUGGGUGUCAUGUCACUUGUCUCUUGUGCAGUCUGUGUCUUCUGUCUGUGUUGCGUUGCCUGUCUCUUAGCCCUUUGAGGGGCCUCUCAGAAACCCUGGGCUCAUCCGUAGCAUCUUGUGAUCUCUGCAUUCAUCAUCCUGGCUCUGCUGCCCUCAAACCUUGGACUCAUUUGCCAUCUGAAUCUCUUCUCUUUUGAAGAGCAUCCGGUCUGUCUUGUAAGGUCUUUUUCCGAGCUUUAUUGACAGCUGUGCGCUGCAAAGUUCCAUUACUUGAGAUUGGGUCUUGGAAGAAUGGGAAGAUAAGAAGAGGAUUCUCAGGCAUCCAUCUCUUCAGAAGAAAUCAUUCUGCUAGCAGAUUUUCUAGCCUCGUCAGCUUGCUAUCAGUCUUCCCUCAGUCAUCUCAAUUUGCAAUCUCUGUCCUCCUGGUCCUUCCUGCUGAGAGAUUGAAUUUUUUUCCUCCCUCUGUCCUCGCCUCGUUUGUCACGUCCUGUGUCACGGGUGCCUGCAUGCAAUUGGGCCAGAAACUGCUCUGCCCUGCUGUGUAGUCUGGGCAUAGGUGUGCUAGGACCAGUCCUGGGGACUUGCUUUUAGUAAUGUGGGGUGGUGUUGGACCCUAGAUGAAAUCUGGAGGUAUAAAGUUAUCCUGCAGCACAUUUGACUUCUGUCCUAUCUUCCUUUCAGAUGCAGAUGGAUCAAUUCUGAGGCUGUGGGCCCAUCCUAGGAAAUGAAGCAGGAUAUCCACUGUCAAGGAGAAGCAGGCCAGGCGGUGCCCUUGAACUACCCUGAGAUGGCUCUGCCCAGCUGGCCAAGAGACCCAGUUCACUGCUCCUGUGAGCCCUCCAGCAGUAUUCCAGGACUCUGAUGAAGCCUUCACCUUCUCCUAUUUGAAGAUGCCAGCCAGGUAGCCUUUGGCAAGAGCCAAGCAGUUGAGGUGAGUCUGGGAGUUUGGGAGAAGGGAGUUGGG